rnacentral:rRNA from 1 species
UACGUAGGGACUGAGCGUUGUCCGGAAUCAUUGGGCGUAAAGAGCGUGUAGGCGGCCACUUAAGUCCUGCGUGAAAUCUUGCGGCUCAACCGCAAGCGGUCGUGGGAAACUGGGUGGCUAGAGUGCGGGAGAGGAGAGUGGAAUUCCUGGUGUAGCGGUGGAAAUGCGCAGAUAUCAGGAAGAACACCCGUGGCGAAGGCGGCUCUCUGGAACGCAACUGACGCUGAGACGCGAAAGCGUGGGGAGCAAACAGG